rnacentral:lncRNA from 1 species
AGGUUUCCGAAGCAAAGGUUACUUAGAAGUGGAGGUUCCACUGCCAGCUUCCCCCCCGCUGCAAAACCUGACACUCCUCACCCUCAGGGUUCAGCAAGAUUCUCGGAAAGGCCUCUUCUGAUUCUAGGAGGUGCUGCAGCAGGAGCUGACUCGGCCAUUUCCUGUCCUCUUUAGUUGGAAGAUGACAGAAAGGCGGAAGCAGGGACUGCUAUUGUGAGGCCCAUGGCAGCCUCCCUGUAAAACAAAUUGGCAAAUUGUCACCAUCAGAUGGACCACAGCUGGCCCUCUGCAGAGCCCUCCUUGGCCUUUCCAGAGUGUGCAUGAUUGUGUCCCAUGUCCAGGGAGAGGACAGAGCCACCAGGAGGGUCAAGGUCAUGGAGGGAAGCAUGGAGUGAGUCCUGCUGCGUAAAUCUGUGCUGAUGUCACCCAGUGCCUUCACCUGCCCGUUGGUGAAAAUCCUGGGACAAGACCCUCACCUGCCUGCACAGGGGGGCCAUGAGGUCUAGAGGCCCAAAUGAAGGCCUCACUAAAUGGACCCUGAGGUGUCAGGGCCACUGGCAUGGUGCCAGGGCCUGUCUGUUCUUCCUGCUAGCCAAAGA